rnacentral:rRNA from 1 species
UACGAAGGGGGCUAGGCGUUGUUCGGAAUCACUGGCGUAAAGCGCACGUAGGCGGAUUGUUAAGUCGGGGGUGAAAUCCUGAGGCUCAACCUCAGAACUGCCUUCGAUACUGGCGAUCUUGAGUCCGGAAGAGGUUGGUGGAACAGCUAGUGUAGAGGUGAAAUUCGUAGAUAUUAGCUAGAACACCAGUGGCGAAGGCGGCCAACUGGUCCGGAACUGACGCUGAGGUGCGAAAGCGUGGGGAGCAAACAGGGAUUAAGAAACCCUGAGAGU